AACACAAAAUGUCACUAUAAAAGGAACCAGGAAAUAUGUGGCUGUUUCAUAGACUAUAUAUCCAACGAAGUGCUGACAUUUUUCUUGCAUGGCUUAAGUGAAUUCUGGGUUGUGUCUGGCACUAAGGUCAAACUUAAGGGGACAUUUAAAGACUGGAUUUAACUACACAUUUGAGGCCAGGAAAAUGUGCUGUGUCUGCAGGGAGGUUAUUUGGUGCAGGAGACCAGAGUCGUUUACAAUUCAAGGUUUCCAGCAGUCGAGCCUAACUGCGUCAGACCUGCUUCACCACCGAGUCUGCUUCUGAAAUAUUGAUGAGAUCUCCCAGGCUAAACCCAGGCUUGUUGUGGCCUCAGGCAGUGAGUUCACCUCAAAGGCAUUCUGGUUGAAACUUCUCUUCGUCUCUGAAGAGUUAAUUCUGAGAAAACAACAACAUGUAGGAGGGACAAAAAUAACAAAGCUGUACAAAAGAAGAAAGGGUUUCGGGAAGAAACUUCAUGCCCGUCGUGCACAGGGGGACAUUUGCCACACCCAAAAUGCAAAACACCACGCCACCUCGCCCUUCUCUCCCUCUUCAGAGGAAAUAAGAUAUGCUGAUGAAGUUGGCAGGGCUCUCAUGGCUGAAGACGAAGCAUUUUGGCACUUCUGAGACAUCAGAGUGAGUCGGGCAACCCGGGGGGGAAGCCUGAGAUAUUUCAUCCCUGUCAGUCUUUGGUGUUUUAACUGCGCUUGCGACCUUAUUGACAAUGUUCUCAAAAAUGUGUGAUGUAUCUCUGCUUGGGUUGUCCAAAUCUUCUGUGUCUCUGAUAUUAAAUCCCACUUUUUUUGAAUUUUAGAAGGCCAACAUUGAGUUCUGUUUAUGUUUGUGAGAACUCGUACAUCUAGGAAUGAGUUUUCUGAACUGUAAUUAGCCAACAGUCUGCUAUCUGACUGGUUUUCUGCCAUCCGGUUCAUUUCAAGCCACUCGCUGCACUGCUGUAAGCCAAAAAUGAAGAGUCAAUAAAUGGAUGGUGGUAAGUAAAUAAAUAAAUGGAUGAAAAGUGGAUUGAAUAACUUGUAACCAUGCUGUAUAAUAAAAAUGUUCCUGGACUGAAUUUUAUUUCUGUAUCAAUCAAAUAUUUGAUUUAUUUGGU